GGAACGGAAAAUGAAACGGAAGACGGAACGGAAAAUAUUGUAUGCAAUUAUUUAUGAGGAGGUCAACAUUUUGCAAAAUAAAAGGUUUAUCAUGAACAAGGGAAGCCGAAAUUACAAAGAGAGCGGGUAGUCAUUCACAAAAUGCACCGUUUGAUAUACUUCAUACUAAUGGAUAUGCAUUUUAGAAUCAUUAAGUUGCCAUGAAAAUUAUUAAUAAUGAAAAAAGCUUGGAUUUUCACAUUUUAUAGCCAAUGAAGAAAAGCCCCCCCCCCCCUCCCCUCCCACGAAAACAACAUUGUAAAAUUUAAAACGUUUAUUCAACAAUUUCCCCCAAAUACAACCUUCUUAAAUCGAACUUGCUUUUAUUCAUAAUUUAGAUACAUGUAUACACCUGGUAUAAUAAUACAUGUACAGUGUAUGUGUUAUGUAUCACAUCAACUUUUAAAGCGAACGAAUCCGAUGUGUAUAAAGGAUUUGGGAUGAGUUUAUUUGAAAGUUCGUACAUUUACUGACAUCAUGCGGAUUAGUGUUGAACCCAAAGAGAUACACCGGGAAAGAAAGACUGAAACAGAACCAAUGAAAACUAAGGUGAAGUUUACGAUCCAUAGUAUGAGAAUUUAACAGAUAUUAAAUAGGUUAAAGGCUAACAGACAAUUUAUUCUUGAAUGGAAUUAAAAAGUCAUCUCAUCAUUAAUAUAACUAAUAAGAUACAAGUAUUUAGUUUAAAAAUAAACUGCUAGAAGUCCUCACUAUUUAGGAUUGGAGUGCUGCGGUCACAAACUCUCUAUGAUAUAUCAAACACAAGAUGUUUAACUUGCCGACUUAAUAAGAACAUAAAUUGUCGUUGUUAUCUACAUACCACACUCCCCUGUUGUAGGUACAUACAUACACUAUAUGUAAAUUUACAUGAUAAUGUGCGUUAAUGAAGUUUUGCCACCGGCGGUGGGGGGGGGAUAUAAAGUACGUUGCUCUUUCCUUUCUCUACCCUGGUCCCAUAGGUGUCACUGCUCCCUUACACAUCUGUCAAAAUUCUUGCAAAAGGCUUUGUGAGUUCUUAUAGAGACGUUUAACUUCGCUUAAUAAAUUUAUGAUGCAGAGUUUUAAGAUAAAAUUGUCUUACCGCUUGUAAAUAAUUUUCACAAUUUGAUUUUAAUUAUAAUAAAGUAUUUUCUUCCGAAUUUCGGUGUUGUCUUAGCUAUGUUAAUCAUUCUAAUUCUUAAAUUCUAUUCCGUUUUCCGUUACGUGUUUUAGCAACACCCUUCAUCAGUGUAUGCACUUUUAAGGGGAUUAAAGUUAAAAGAACACAUGCUGUUUUAUACUAUUGCUGAACAUUAGAAUUUAGCUUAGAUAUUCAGAACAGGAAUUGUUUUCUAGAUGUCAUAGCCCUUGGGAGUAUUGGUACUUUUUCACUAGUACUCAGGUGACCGAUAAGUCCUGUAGGUUUCUUGUUUAUAGAAUAAGAACCGAUCUGCAAAUUCAAAGCCUAAUUCAAGUAAAAUGGAAAAUAUUAAAUAAUAGAGGAAGCUUGGGUAAUGCAGAUCGCUUACUCUCCUUUGAUAGGUUGGUUCUAAUAGGAAUGUGGCCUUCAAUUCGACAUUUAGAUAUAUCGAUGACGUUUUGUCUAUUAACAAUAAUAACUUUCAUUCAUAUGUCGAUUUGAUAUAUCCCUGUGAGCUCCAAAUAAAGGACACCACAGAGUCGUCCACUUCUGCUUCAUACUUAGAUAUUUUAUUGAAAGUAGACAUUAACGGCAAACUGACAACUCAACUGUAUGACAAACGGGAUGAUUUCAGCUUCUCCAUCGUCAACUUCCCACAUUUAUGUAGCAAUAUUCCAUUAUCACCUGCAUAUGGUGUUUAUAUAUCUCAACUGAUUCGAUAUGCAAGAGCUUGUUCUGCGUAUAGUCAGUUUUUAAAUCGAGGUAAGCUACUGACAAACAAGUUGAUGGUACAGGGCUUUGAACAGUCUCGAUUGAAGUCAGCAUUUCGCAAAUUCUAUGGUCGUUAUAACGAUCUAGUUCGUCAAUACAACCUCGCAUUGGGUCAAAUGCUGUCUGACGUGUUUCAUACCGUUUGUUAAGCCGUUCUUGGCACACUGAUUUUGACUGCGGAUAAAUCCGUUUACCUGAUCAGGAUAUGGGGCUCACAGCGGGUGUGACCGGUCAACAGGGGAUGCUUACUCCUCAUAGGCACCUGAUCCCACCUCUGGUGUGUCCAGGGGUCCGUGUUUGCCCAACUAUCUAUUUUGUAUUACUUGUAGGAGUUAUGAGAUUGAUCACUGUUCGUUAUCUUCACCUUGCAUCUAGUCAAAUUGAAAUCAAAGCUAACGCGAACUUUUUGAAAUACCAAAGGGGGAAGUAUUCAUUGUUUUUCAAUCACAUUUGCCGAUAAUUCGAGAUUCCUCUUACCCUUAUCCCCGCUUUUGUAUUGUGAGACGUGCGGGGUAGAGUCAGAGCGGACUCCAUAUUGAAAAGUGGGAAUUCACCGACAACCACUGGUGUCUCUGCUUUACCUACCUCUUACAACUUUAUUUCGCGGAUGUAUCAUCCAAGACGCGAGGAUUCAUUUAUCGGAAGAAUAUUCUACAAAUAGAUCAUGAUUAAUACGAUGCUAUCGCCGUCUAAACGAUGGAAUUUUGUGUUCAUCGCGUGCUGACGUCAUGCUCAAAGAGGCGGCGACCUAAUUCAAGUGAUGCUUCAUUUGUCGGAGUUUAUCUGACUCUCCCACGGAUAUGUCAUGAUAUAAAAGCGGGGGUAAGAGCCAGAGGAAUGUCGGAUUAACUCGCAGAGAACCACCUAUCUUGAUUAUGUAUACAGAAUAAUUCGUAGGCAAAACUAGUAUGAAACGAACGGCUUAACAACAGAUAUAAAACACUUCUGUGAGCAUUCAUUCACCCGAUGGUAGGUUAUAUUUGCAAACAAAAUCAUGAUAAUGGUAGGUUAUAUUUGUUAACAAAAUCAUAAAGUUAUUUGACAGUAGCCUGCUUCGGUUUAGAAAUUCAUCAUACGCAGAAAAAAAAUGUUGCGUAUCGAAUUAGUUGAAAUUGAUUGAUUGUAUCUUGCUUAACGUCCAUUUCGAUACUUUUUCACUCACAUGGAGAUGUCACCAUUUCCGGUAAUGGGCUUCAAAUUUAGGCCUAUGUCCGGUGCUUACGACCAUACAGCAGCGAGGGUUCUUUAGGGUGCCACACCUACUGUGACAGGGGAGAUCCGUUUUUAGGUCACCUGAGUAAAAACUCAGGUGACCUAUUGCAAUUGGUUGUCUUCCGUCGCAGUGCGUUGCAUGUAACAAUUGAAUAUUUUUACGUUCGUCUUGAUAACUACCAGUCCAAUUCUUUUCAAAUUUGGCAUGAAGGAUCAUUGGAACAAGGGGGGCAUAGAUUGUUAGUUUCAUUACUCCUGGGGUCGUAGGGGCAGGACAAAAAUUGCCAAAAAUUGACCAAUUUUCAAAAAUCUUCUUCACAAGCACCACACACGUGUAAAAAAUAAAAUAAAUGCAUAGUACAUAGAGCAGGAAAGCCUCUACCACAAUUGUAAAUUUCAUGAUCCCCAGGGUAGGGCUUCUGACCCCAGAGCAGGGCGAAACUUGGUAUAUCGUGUUUAUGUGUAAAACACUUAAAUAACAUCUUCUUUAGUGCUAUUGAUAGUAAAUUGAAAGUAAAUAAAUAUUUAGUAAGAACGAGUAGUCCUUCACCAAUAUUGUAAAUUUGAUGAUCCCAGGGGCUAGGGAUUUUGGUAUCAGGAAGUGGCCAAAAUGGUCACUUAUUAAAUGUGUGAACAAUAUACAUUUUUAACUUCUUCUUGAUAACUAGCAUUCCAAUUGUUUUCAUAUUUGGUAUGAAACAUAUUUGGAACAAGGGGGGCAUAAAUUGAGGAUUCUGACACCCUUUGGGACUUAGGUGUGGGGCAAAAACUACCCAAGAUGGAUCAAUUUUCAGAAAUCUUGUGUAGAACAGCACAUGUGUAAGAAAAACUAAAUGCAUAGUGAUGUAGUCCAGGCGUUCUGACCCCAGGACGGGGUCAAAUUUGUUCUAUAGUGUUAAUGUGUAGAACACUUGAAUAAUAUCUUCUUUAGUGCUAUUUAUACUAAAUUUAAAUUAAAUGGAUAAAGGAGGUACAUAUGUAGUCUUUUACCAAAAUUGUAAAUUUGAUGAUCCCAGGGGUAGGGGUUUUGGUAUCAGGGUGGGGCCAAAAUGGGCAGUUAUCAAAUGUGUGAACAAUUAGAUAUAUUUAACUUACUCUUGAUAACUGUUAUUUCAAUUCUUUUCAAAUUUGGUAUGAAAUACAUUUGGAACAAGGGGAACAUAAAUUGGGGCCUUAGGGACGGGGUAAAAACUGCUUCAAUUUGAACAAUUUUCAAAAAUCUUCUUCUCAAGAAUCACACACAUGUACGAAAAAACUAAGUGAUGUAGAGCGGUGAAGCCGCUACCAAAGUUGUAAAUUUUAUGAUUCCCAGAGUAAGGGAUUUGAGCCCAGGGUGGGGCCAAACUUAGUGUAUAGUAUUUAUGUGUAAGUUUGCUGAUACUGUAUAAAAUCUAGAUAAAUACUUAGGAAUAGCAGAAAAUGAUGUACAAAAAAUGAUGAAUUUCAUAACCCAGGGUUAUGACUUUAGGAUCAGUCCAAAUUAGUCACAUCUAUUGAUGUUUUAAUGUUAAUACACUUAUUAUUUAAAGCCUUUCAUGAUUGUAUGCACUUUUGAGGGCAGUGAAGUUUUAAGAACACAUCUUGUUUUAUACUGUUGCUGAACAUUAGAAUUUAGCUUAGAUAUUCAGAACAAGAAAUUCUCUCUAGAUUUCAUAGCCCAAGGAAGUAAUGAUACUUUUUCACUAGUACUCAGGUGACUGAUAAGGCCUGUGGGCCUCUUGUUAGGUCAUCCCCGAGAACCCGUGCCAUUCACACCUGAUGCCGAGUGUAUGACGAUGGAACUGUCACUACCUGUUAUAAUGACUUAGGUCGUAUGAAGCAGUUGAGAGACAUAUAAACACCAUAUGAAGACGAUAACGCAAACACAUAAGCAUGGGAAGUUGACACUGGAGAAGCCACCCCAUCUGGUUUGAUUAUCCUAGAGUUAUUACUGCUGUUUAUACCUUAUUUUGUAAUUACACACUUACUGACGUAAAUGUUACCUUGCAAAACAAUAGACUUUGUACAGCAAUUAUAGGAGAAAAACGUGUGACGUUUGUUGAUCUUAGCCCCACAAGUAUUGUUUUUAUCUAACCCACAAGGUGCUGAUAGACGGAACCGAUUCGCUGUCGAAUAUACGCUUUGCACCAUUCUAUAAUACGACUAUUAUGGACGUACAAAACUAAGCAUUCCCUUAAAUCAUCUUCUUUAUUCAUCGUUGAACAAAUUGGAGUUCUCCAAUUAGAAGAUUAAGUACAAGUAUACAGGACAACUUCUGAGCCUUCUAUGUUAAUGACACCUUUGUUUGUAUUGGCAAACUAGAUCGUAAUAACGACCAUAUAAUUUACGAAAUCAGAUUUUAAACCACACUGUUGAAACCCUUGUAACUUCAAUUUGCUUGUCAGUAGUGUGUCUCGAUUUAAAAACUGACCAUACACAGAACAAGCUGUUGCGUAUCGAAUCUCUUGAGAGACAGAAACACCAUUUGCAGGUAAUAAUGGGAUAUUGCUAUAUAUAAUGUACAUGAAAUCAAUAUUAUGGAACAUAAUAGCAUUUAUGUUUAAAGCGUAUAUAUGUGUCAUUUGCCCUAUUGGGGACCUCGUAUAACUUUACCCCGUUGGGGGCCUCAAGUUUGUUAGCCAAUCAAUGGCUUGGAUAGGCACGCGAUAGCUUGUGUUUUGCACACGUUAGCCUUUUCAUAUACAUGGGAUUCAGUGAAUACAAAUUGUAAAGCGGAUCAAAGUUUUUUCAUUUUGUUUAAAUCGAAGGAUCCAAAUUUAAUUUCUAUAACAACAAGUAAGUUGAAUGACUGUGCGGAUUCGUUAACUUCAGUUACGUAUCUAUUCGCUCGGUUUGAGCUGGUAUUUUCGGUGAACUUUCCUACAGUGUUGGCGUUGGAGUGGCGUACGUUUUGUAAACAAUGGCUAAUGGUCAUAUCAUGGAUGUUGUGAUUUUGGGACAUUCCUUCAUCAGGCGAUUGGAUGAAUUCACAAUCAGAAAUAAAAUUUCUAAUCUGAAUUUGGAUGCGGGUGCAUAUUCCGUAACAAUGAGGGGUAAAGGAGGUCUACGUUUAUCGCAUCUAUCCCAGGAUGCUACAAUACUUAGUUUCCCCUCCGCCAUCCCAGAUAUUUGCUUAUUCAAAUCGGGGAAAAUGACAUUAAAGUGAAUUCAGACCCUCUUAAGAUUGCCACGGACAUUGUCGCUGUUGCAAAAUUUUUACACGAAGGAGUUGGGGUUAAACAUGUGUUAAUUGGUCAACUGCUGCGUCAUUUACCAUACGUUGCGGGUCAGCGUUUCAAUUCCCAAGUCAUCGCCAUUAAUAACCAUCUACGGGUAAUGACAGAUAAUUUACAGGGGUUGAUAUUUUGGCCCCAUCGAAGAUUUUGGCAGUAUCUGUCUUUCCUCGGACCUGACGGAGUUCACUUAUUAUCAACGCCCUCCAAUUGCCAACCUAUGAGAAAGUUCCUUGAGAAGCAUCAGGAAUGCUGUUAUAAUAACAGCUAAAAAAAAAAAAAAAAAAAAAGACCUAUUUAAAUAUAUCAGCUGAUGAUAUAUAUCUGAUACAUUCAUGUAAUGUUUGACUUAAAUCUCAAACUUAACCAUUCAGUAUAAUGUUCACUGGAAUCUCAUAGAGUAUUGAAACAUUCAGUAUAAUGUUCACUUAAAUCUCAUAGAGUAUUGAAACAUUCAGUAUAAUGUUCAUUUAAAUCUCAUGGUGAAGCAUUCAGUAUAAUGUUCACUUGAAUCUCAGAAUUUUAUAUUAUUGAAACAUUCAGUAUAAUGUUCAUCGGGAUCUCAUUUUGAAGCAUCCAGUAUAAUGCUCACUUAAAUCCUAUAUUGAAGUAUUCAGUAUAAUGUUCACUUGAAUCUCAUAGAUUAUUGAAACAUUCAGUAUAAUGUUCAGGGGAAUCUAAUUUGAAGCAUUCAGUAUAAUGCUCACUUAAAUCCUAUAUUGAAGUAUUCAGUAUAAUGUUCACUUGAAUCUCAUAGAUUAUUGAAACUUUCAGUAUAAUGUUCAUCAGGAUCUCAUUUUGAAGCAUUCAGUAUAAAUGCUCACUUAAAUCAUAUAUUGAGGUAUUCAGUAUAAUGUUCACUUGAAUCUCAUAGAUUAUUGAAACAUUCAGUAUAAUGUUCAGGGGAAUCUAAUUUGAAGCAUUCAGUAUAAUGCUCACUUAAAUCCUAUAUUGAAGUAUUCAGUAUAAUGUUCACUUGAAUCUCAUAUAUUAUUGAAACAUUCAGUAUAUCUUCAGUUGUUCACCUAAAUCUCAUUGGAGGCAUUCGGUAUAAUGUUGUCUUAAAUCUCACAUUGAAGCAUUCAUAUAUGAUUAUUAGUCUAUCGUCUGUUGCUACAUUACCCCUGGCAAUCAUGCUAAGUUUGUAAACAUUCAGUGUCAUGUUUACUAGUAAAUGCAUUAUACUGUUGAUAUAUGUUACCCUGGUGCUAUCCUCAACCGAGCAGUGCAUUUAAGUGUUAGACAUUUAGUAUGUGUACUUACAUCACCUAUUAAACAUUAAGUAUGUUUACAUGUCAUGUGUAUCACUGAGAUAUACUGCUUUGUGAAUAGUCAGUACAUGUGUACUUGAAGGUCAUUUGAAACAUCGAGUAUAAUGUAUACAUCUAUAAUUAUUCUCAUCUCCCUUGCUCUGUUGCUAUCCUUCUACUAGCAUUGCAUUUUAGCUGGUAAACAUUCAAUAUAAUGUUUCCCUAAAUAUAUACUGCAUGCUUGCCUUAAAAUCCUGUACAAAUUCUGUAGCAGACAGCUAACAUACAAAGUGUGCAUUAAUGCUGGUGAAUACAUUACAUGAUGGAUAUUUCGUAGUGUUUAGAAACAUUAAGGCUUUAAUGUUCUAGGAUACCAGACUACUUGUCAUGAACUAUUACACAUUUAAAAGGCAGGUCAAUGGUUAAGGAUAUUAUUCCCUCUGUGGUAAUUUUCAGUAUAAUUUUGCUGAAACUUGACACAUUACAUAUGGGUAAAACAUUUGAGUUCCUUUGGGUAGCACGACCGGGUUUUCCAUAUAUGUAUGAUAUAUGUUUUACAUAUAACAUAACCUGCAAAUUUAAGACAUGCUAAAGGAACAUUUUAUACAUUGUUCUAUUGUCCAGUAAGAUAUUUUUAUCACUAGAAGUGAAUUCAUGCUGUGUGUGCAUUGGUGAGGAUAUAUAUAAUAUAGCUAAUAAGUGGCAUAUUCAGCUUAUUCUUAAUGAACUCGCUUUAAUGCAACAUUUGUGUGAUACUGCUGUUUAUUUAUGUCCCUUCAUUUUCUACCUUGGACGCAAGUCUCGGUGUUCAUUGCUGAUGAGGCUAGUGCAUAUGUCUAAAAAGGUGUACAUAUUUGUAAGCACAGCAGCUGAUUCUCAUCUAUGGAUGAUGUUAGUUCCGUUUUACAUUAUAUAAUACUACAAACUGUAUGAUGGGUGAUAACACCUAUUCAUCUUCUACAGCACAUCUAAUUAGAUUCAGUACAGCUUACAAUUUUGGUAAGAUCAAUCAUCUCAUUCUGAUAUUUAUUGAAAUAGUAUUUUCAACAUCAGUUGAUGAUAAUGCUAAUAUGGAUGUCAUAAUUUGAAUAUGUUGAGAGCAAAUACUGCAUGCAUAUGUAUUGUAGGGUUAGAAAGUUUUGAUUGUUUGGACUUGUAGAAAGCGUGUUGAAAUUUGAGAAAUCCAGUAAGGUUUAUAGUUUGUGCAUUGGAGAUUUGCACUAAGUGUAAGUGACUUGCAGUUUUGUUUUGUUAACUAGUACAUGUUAACAUCCUCGUGGGUUGAAUCAUUGGUACAGUAACUUUGUGCACUCGCUCAGCAGACGCGUCGCGUCAGUGAUGAUGGCGGAUCAAACGUGCAAGGUGAUGGUGAUAGGACAUUCAUAUGUGCGCCGUUUGGAUGUUUAUUUGCAACGCCCAAGGGAUUGUGUUUUGGCCACACCGUGGAUUAUGUGAGUCCCUGUCAUACAUCGGCCCAGAUGGAGUACACCUGCUAUGUACUCAAGCCAAUGAUCAGCCCAUGAGGAAGUUUCUGCGGAGUACACGCAACGCCAUAAUUAUUAACGCCAAAGAUCUCAGGCCAGUAUAAACACAUCAAAAAUUAAAUGCAAACUUGAGUUAUUUUAGGCCUUGCCUAUGUAGGCCAUGGGUGUUAUUGGUGUUUGAAACACUUUAAAAAGCAUUCUUCAAUAUCUUCAAAGAAACAUUGGGUAUAAUGUUUAUUUACAUAAUUACAAAGAAGCAGUUGGUAUACUGUUUCAUUAUUAUUAGGAACAUUCAGUAUAAUGUUUACAUAUUACCAAGAAGCAUUCACUAUAAUGUUUCAUUAUUGCAAGGAAACCUUCAGUAUAAUGUUUUCAGAAUUACCAAGAAGCAUUCAGUAUAAGGUUUACAUAAUUACCAGGAAGCAUUCAGUAUAAUGUUUCAUUAUUGCAAGGACACAUUCAGUAUAAUGUUUACAUAAUUACCAAGAAGCAUUCAGUAUAAUGUUUCAUUACUACAAGGAAACAUUCAGUAUAAUGUUUUCAGAAUUACCAAGAAGCAUUCAGUAUAAGGUUUACAUAAUUACCAGGAAGCAUUCAGUAUAAUGUUUCAUUAUUGCAAGGAAACAUUCAGUAUAAUGUUUACAUAAUUACCAAGAAGCAUUCAGUAUAAUGUUUCAUUAUUGCAUGGAAACAUUCAGUAUAAUGUUUUCAGAAUUACCAAGAAGCAUUCAGUAUAAUGUUUACAUAAUUACCAGGAAGCAUUCAGUAUAAUGUUUCAUUAUUGCAAGGAAACAUUCAGUAUAAUGUUUACAUAAUUACCAAGAAGCAUUCAGUAUAAUGUUUCAUUACUGCAAGGAAACAUUCAGUAUAAUGUUUACAUAAUUACCAAGAAGCAUUCAGUAUAAUGUUUACAUAAUUACCAGGAAACAUUCAGUAUAAUGUUUCAUUACUGCAAGGAAACAUUCAGUAUAAUGUUUACAUAAUUACCAGGAAGCAUUCAGUAUAAUGUUUCAUUAUUGCAAGGAAACAUUCAGUAUAAUGUUUACAUACUUACCCAGAAACAUUCAGUAUAAUGUUUACAUAAUUACCAGGAAGCAUUCAGUAUAAUGUGUCAUUAUUGCCACGGAAACAUUUAGUGUGUGGUUGCAGAGUUAUAUAGAUAUAAACUAUUAGUAUAUAUCUGUCUAUAUUGUAAAGUAGCAGCAGGGCAGAGUGCAAGGCCUGUGCUAUAGAGAUACAUAAAAUGCAAUGUCUAUUACACUGAGAGGCAUUUCAGUAUGAUAUUCCAUUGUUAUCAAUUAACAUGAGCAUGAUUUAAAAGUAGGGAAAGGUUAGCGGUAUGACGCUACUAUUACUACAUAUUUCCCUGACACCUACUUAUGGUACUAUAUUUAUAUUCUUUGAUAACUAAAAACAGCCUCCAGAUUUGGCAUUUAGUUUCUUUCUAUCAAGUUAUAUUAUCUAUAUAUUAUUGUGCCUAGAGGUGUUCUUUGGGCUAUUGAAUUUCAGUCAAAUUCAGUUAUCAUGAACAAUAGCCCUUGUUGCGAUGUACAAGUCCAUUUUAUUAUACAGGCGAACUGCUGGAUGUCAUGUGGUAUACUGUUUGGUGUUUACAGUAGUAUUAGUUUGCCAACUUUCUCACUCAUCAAGUUUGUUGGAAGUUGACAUGCCCCUUUUUCCCUUGAUGCCCAGAUUUACUGUGGUUGAAAUAGAAUGGAGUCAACUUAGCCAAAAACAAUAUUUAGAAAUAAAACCAUGAUUGUGCUGCAAUGUCAUCAGACUGACUAAAAAGCAAUCUGCUGAAAUACGAUCGAUUUUCACAAUAAGCUAAACAAAGCUAUGUUGUAUACAUUGUGUAAGAAUAAUCAGAGAUAUAAUAUGUUGUAUAUGCCUCUUGAAUAAUAUACAUGAAAUAUAGAUCUACAGUAAACAUGUAUGAGUCGAUGCACGCUCGCCAGGUUGCGACACAAAAUUUUGGUCUAGUGUGAGCCCUGGGAACCCAUAGUGUGGGGGCUACCAAUGUCCUACCUGGACCACAGUCUGUCUCUCCCAUGGACACCCCCAACAUUUCUAAUGUGGGUUCGAUUUUAGAUGUAGUUUUCUCAGACAGCCCGGUUCCAAGCUCCAUAUUUGGAGCAGUAUCCCACCCCGGUUCCGGAACAUUUAUUGCAAAUUUAACUUCAGCAACAGCUCAUAUUCUGACAGCUUCCUUAACACAGGCAUCUCGAGCUGCAUAUAGGCGGUCUUGGGACCUAUUCCUGAAUUACAAACCAGUUACUAACUUACCUUUGCAAGUCUCUGAUGUAUGCAACUUCAUUGGACAUUUAUUUCAAUCCAAUUUGAGUGCAAGCACUAUAUCAUCACACAUAUCUGCUCUGGGCUAUGUCCACAAAUUGUUCAAUUUGCCAGAUCCUUCUCAAGCCUUUGUAGUAAAGAAACUUCUGCGUGGUUGUCACAAAUUGGCAGGGACUGUAGACUCAAGGCUACCGAUAACGAAAGAUAUUUUAGCAAAACUUAUUGCGGCUUUGUCUCAUACGGUUGCAGCAAAAGCCAACUGCAUAUUAUUAGAUGCUCUGUUUAAAUUAUGCUUUCAUGCAUUCCUUCGCCUUGGGGAAGUGGUUUCAAAAUCUGCAGGAAGUAGCAGUUUGGUGGUGCAGCGGUCAAAUGUCGCCUUUCAAUUUGAGGGUUCUUUACUGAAAUCAGUGCAGAUAGUUCUACAUCAUUUCAAAAAUCAGAAACAUAACAAUCCUUUUGUUAUUACACUUGUGAGCAGCAUAGAUCCAACAAUGUGCCCUGUGGCAGCUCUGCAUCGCUAUUUAUCACAUUUCAAGCAUUCUUCGGGACCCUUAUUCCAGUUCAUAGGGGAAAACCCUGUUACAUAUUCUUAUGUCUCCACUCAACUCUAUGCCGCUGCAACCUUUGCUGGUCUGAACCCAAAGUUGUACAAAGGUCAUAGUUUUAGAAUAGGUGCUGCUACAUAUGCCACAAGUCUGGGUUAUUCUGAGAAUCUGAUCAAACAAUUAGGCAGAUGGAACUCUAAUGCCUUUCGUCGCUACAUAAGAAUACCUACGUUCAACCUUUAACUUAUUUUCUACCCCAUCCUCUGAUUUUUUUUUUACUUGGUAGUCAGGGCGCAUUCAGGUUCAGCAACAACCUUUGGCAGGUCAGUGUCUAACUGCUGCUAAAGACUGCAUCACUUGCGUGCAUAAAUCAGUGGGCAGGUCAGUGUCUAACUGCUGCUAAAGACUGCAUCACUUGCGUGCAUAUAUGAAUGGAAAAUUUGGGCAGGUCAGUGUCUAACUGCUGCUAAGGACUGUAUCAAUUGACUGUUAUAUCAAUUUUAAGACUUCGAGCAGGUCAGUGUUUAACUGCUGCAAAAAGUUUGGUACUAUGUAAAUAUUUAAACAAAAUAGGUUUUUUGCAAGUUGGUAUCUGUUAUAUUUUCUUUGUAGUAAUUCUUUUUUGCAAGUUGUAGAGAAAAUUUUUUCUGUUUUAUAUGCUACACAUUGGUACUGUAUACAUUGCUAUAUGUGGUUGGUGCAAUAUACCUUACUGACUCACUUAGUUACGCUAUCGUUUUAUACACAGAUAUGUCCAAAGUAUGUCUUGUUAUAUACAAUAUCCUUUAUGUUAUAGCACAGGAAUGUGUCAACUUUGGUAACCAUAUACACUGUUAAUUGCAAUCGGGUCAGUAUUUAACUGUUCAUGUGUGAUAAAUGUUUAUUAACUCUCCACAGUCAAACUAGUUAUUUCUCUCUGCUCACCUUGGAUGGUGCCGAUAUGAUACUGUUUCAUAUCUUGUGGCCUUAUUUGUUCGCCAUCUUUUUGCUCUGGGUUUGUUUUGAUGAAUUUUUAUUUGUCAUCUUAUAGCGUAGCAUUAUUUAAGUUAUUUUGUCUUCUUUGGGGGAAAUCAGACUUUGAGUAAUUUAGCUUUGCAGGUACUUUCAUGUAGAAUGUAUUAUCUGAUUUCCCCCAAAAUCUUAUGUUGAAGAUUUCUUUCGUCAUUUGGUAUUGUAAUAAAUGACAAAUUUUCAAUCUCAAUCAUUCUUUGUUCAGAUUUUUUAUGACAGCAAAAACGAGCUACGGUGAGCAGAGUUUGGGUAAUAGAAGCUGAUAAACAUAAAUAUUGGAAUUUGACGAUGAAGAGCCUGAAAUCAUCCCAUUAUUCAUAAAAUGACUCUGUAUAGAUUAUUGCACAAAGAUGAGAACCCUGUGUUUGGCCUCAUUGCAAAAAACCCGAAUUCCAAUAUUAGCGUCGAAGAUCACGUGGAGCAUGGAUCGAGAGGGACCCACUCGAAAUAUAUAUCCUGCUGCAAGUCAUGGUCGGCCAUAGAGAGAUUCAGCGUUACGUAUCCCAAAAGGGUUGUGGAAAUUAACAUCAACAUAAAUAAUAUGCAUGUAAUAGAUUUGACGAACGAAUAUACCUUAAAUCAGCAUAUUUCUCCAUGGAACGAGACAGAAAGAAAUUUUGCCAGAUGUUUUGAGGAGGUUUUAGUUGUAGGGGUCAUCCCUGGGAAUUGUAUUGUCCGCAAUUUCAUUCUACCAUAACAACAAAUGGAUGUUUUAGUGAAUUAUUGACUGUUGAAUGAUCUACUGCAAUACUUUGAUUGUAAGAAUGUGAUAUUAAUGUAUAUAUCAUAUCUAUUUAUAAUUUAUUUUCGUUGUGUUAAAUUAUCGUUCUUUUUAUAUUUCAAAGAGGACAUACCAAAUUUUACCGUUCAGGCACACGUGAAAUUGUGUUACAAUAAGGGACCCUAGCCCCAGUUACUUUCAUGAAGAUUUGAAGAAACGAAAAGAGUACGUGUGCGUGGAAUCAGAGUGGUGUUUAACAAAAAUACAUAUCAAGACAUCAACAUUGCCGGUAAAAGCCUGCAAAAUUUAAGGCUAUGCUCGGUACUUGGUUUGUGAGGUCUCAUCCUAAUAUAAGGACCGCUCGAUUUAGUCACCUCAUACAACAAGCAAGGAAUACUGAGGACAUAUUCUAACCUGGAUCCCCACGGAACUAAAUCAACGAAUGCAAGGUGAAGAUAACGAACAGUGAUCAAUCUCAUAACUCCUACAAGCCAUACAAAAUAGAUAGUUGGGCAAACACGGACCCCUGGACACACCAGAGGUGGAAUCAGGUGCCUAGGAGGAGUAAGCAUCCCCUGUUGACCGGUCACACCCGCCGUCAGCCCUAUAUCCUGACCAGAAAUCAUUGUCGAGCAGACGCACCUUUGUGCUAGUAUAUGCACGCUUUCCUCAUCGUUCUAAUGAUCAAUGAAUACUUCUGUGCACCAGGGUUGUAAUAAGUAGAAAGCCUGUGUUAUUUCAACGUUGUUGAUACAUGUAGUUUAUAUUCAUUUGAUCUGUAUCAACAUUUAUCAUAUAAUUAUAUAAACGUGUUAUAUUUCUUUCUAUACUCGAAUCCGGCUUUUCUUUCUCGUUCCUACGUCUUUUGUUUACAUGUAUUAUUGUAAUAGUUGGUAUAUGACUUAUUAGUAUACUUAGAAUUUUUAUUCACCUCUUACUUGUAACAUUAUUGAGAGCGAGAUUAAUAUAAGCCUUUUGGCUUGUUUCUCAAUCUAUUAUAAGACAGUGUUUGUAAACAUUAUUAUCAAAUUAUUUACGAAUAAAUAUUGUUUAAAGAAUUAAAUAUUCCGUUCUCUGGAAUUUCAGAUGAAAGUUAUGGAUGGAUAGAUAGAUAGAAAUAGAUAUUUCAAAGUAAUAAAAAUAUUUAUAUUGACAAACAAACUCAUUGCUGUGUGCGUAUUUUCUGAAAUUUAUCGCAUUCUGUGUAAUCAAAAUGAAAACAAAACCAAACUUUUCCUGUACUUUAGGUUUCAGAAAUUUGAAAUUCUCUUACACAGGUCAACGGGAUUCAUUUAAAGGAAGUGAACAUGAAAAUGUGACAAAGGGUUUAAAUUUGUCACUUGGAUGUAUAUAAUGAAUUCUGAAAAUCAAUAAAUGACACAACGCAUG